AGAUAUCCCCUGGCCUGGGGAAGAUGAGGAACCAUUAUCAGAGAAUGCUAAGUCAGCCAUUGAUGUACUGCUGAUAAUGGACCCCAAAGAAAGACCUAAGGACAGAGAGGUGAGGAGGCUGGCCUUCUUUGACUCGGUAGACUGGGAGAACCUGCUGGAGGUGGAGCCCCCAUUUGUCCCCCAACCUGAGGGCGACGAGGACACAACAUACUUCGAAGCACGGAACUCUCAACAACAGUUGAUGGUGUCUGGGAUAGAUCUUUGACAAGGAUACUGUAUUAAAUGUACAGUUAUAGGAUGGUGCUGGUAUAGAUCUCUGAA